rnacentral:rRNA from 1 species
UACGUAGGGUGCGAGCGUUAACCGGAAUUACUGGGCGUAAAGUGUGCGCAGGCGGCCGAGCAAGUCGAGUGUGAAAGCCCCGGGCUUAACUUGGGAAUUGCGCUCGAAACUACUUGGCUGGAGUGUGGCAGAGGAAGGUGGAAUUCCAGGUGUAGCGGUGAAAUGCGUAGAGAUCUGGAGGAACACCGAUGGCGAAGGCAGCCUUCUGGGCCAACACUGACGCUCAUGCACGAAAGCGUGGGGAGCAAACAGG